rnacentral:rRNA from 1 species
GAUGAACGCUGGCGGCGUGCCUAAUACAUGCAAGUCGAGCGAACAGACGAGGAGCUUGCUCCUCUGACGUUAGCGGCGGACGGGUGAGUAACACGUGGAUAACCUACCUAUAAGACUGGGAUAACUUCGGGAAACCGGAGCUAAUACCGGAUAAUAUAUUGAACCGCAUGGUUCAAUAGUGAAAGACGGUUUUGCUGUCACUUAUAGAUGGAUCCGCGCCGCAUUAGCUAGUUGGUAAGGUAACGGCUUACCAAGGCAACGAUGCGUAGCCGACCUGAGAGGGUGAUCGGCCACACUGGAACUGAGACACGGUCCAGACUCCUACGGGAGGCAGCAGUAGGGAAUCUUCCGCAAUGGGCGAAAGCCUGACGGAGCAACGCCGCGUGAGUGAUGAAGGUCUUCGAAUCGUAAAACUCUGUUAUUAGGGAAGAACAAAUGUGUAAGUAACUAUGAACGUCUUGACGGUACCUAAUCAGAAAGCCACGGCUAACUACGUG